rnacentral:rRNA from 1 species
AAUUUUGGACAAUGGGCGCAAGCCUGAUCCAGCCAUGCCGCGUGAGUGAAGAAGGCCUCCGGGUUGUAAAGCUCUUUCGGACGGAAAGAAAUCGCCCAGGCUAAUACCCUGCGCGGCUGACGGCACCGUCAUUAUCAGCACCCGUUAACUACUUGCCAGUAGCCGCGGUAAUACGUAGGGUGCGAGCGUUAAUCGGAAUUACUGGGCGUAAAGCGUGCGCAGGCGGUUGAUUAAGACAGGCGUGAAGUCCCCGGGCUUAACCUGGGAACUGCGCUUGUGACUGGUCAGCUAGAGUACGGCAGGGGGGGGUGGAAUUCCACGUGUAGCAGUGAAAUGCGUAGAGAUGUGGAGGAACACCGAUGGCGAAGGCAGCCCCCUGGGCCGAUACUGACGCUCAUGCACGAAAGCGUGGGUAGCAAACAGG